rnacentral:rRNA from 1 species
UACGUAGGGCGCAAGCGUUGUCCGGAAUCACUGGGCGUAAAGGGCGCGUAGGCGGCGUUUUAAGUCGGGGGUGAAAGCCUGUGGCUCAACCACAGAAUGGCCUUCGAUACUGGGACGCUUGAGUAUGGUAGAGGUUGGUGGAGCUGCGAGUGUAGAGGUGAAAUUCGUAGAUAUUCGCAAGAACACCGGUGGCGAAGGCGGCCAACUGGACCAUUACUGACGCUGAGGCGCGAAAGCGUGGGGAGCAAACAGG